AGAGUUUGAUCCUGGCUCAGAACGUACGCUGGCGGCACGCCUAACACAUGCAAGUCGAACGCAGUAGCAAUACUGAGUGGCGAACGGGUGAGUAUAAUGUGGGUAUCUGCCUUUCGGUUUGGAAUAACACGAGGAAACUUGUGCUAAUACCGGAUAAGCCCUUACGGGGAAAGUUUUAACGCCGAAAGAUGAGCCCGCACUUGAUUAGCUAGUUGGUAAGGUAAUGGCUUACCAGGGCAACGAUCAAUAGUUGAUCUGAGAGGAUGAUCAGCCACAUUGGGACUGAGACACGGCCCAAACUCCUACGGGAGGCAGCAGUGGGGAAUCUUGCACAAUGGGGGAAACCCUGAUGCAGCGAUGCCGCGUGAGUGAAGAAGGCCUUUGGGUUGUAAAGCUCUUUCGUCGGGGAAGAAAAUGACUGUACCCGAAUAAGAAGGUCCGGCUAACUUCGUGCCAGCAGCCGCGGUAAUACGAAGGGACCCAGCGUAGUUCGGAAUUACUGGGCUUAAAGAGCACGUAGGUGGUUAGAAAAGUUGGUGGUGAAAUCCCAAGGCUUAACCUUGGAACUGCCAUCAAAACUUUUUGACUAGAGUGUGAUAGAGGUAAGCGGAAUUUCUAGUGUAGAGGUGAAAUUCGUAGAUAUUAGAAAGAACACCAAUUGCGAAGGCAGCUUUCUGGAUCAUUACUGACACUGAGGUGCGAAAGCAUGGGUAGCGAAGAGGAUUAGAUACCCUCGUAGUCCAUGCCGUAAACGAUGUGUGCUAGACGUUGG
rnacentral:rRNA from 1 species